rnacentral:rRNA from 1 species
UACGUAGGGUGCGAGCGUUAAUCGGAAUUACUGGGCGUAAAGCGUGCGCAGGCGGUUCGUUGUGUCGGCGGUGAAAGCCUCGGGCUCAACCUGGGAAUGGCAAUGGAUACUGGCAGGCUAGAGUGCGGUAGAGGGUAGUGGAAUUCCCGGUGUAGCGGUGAAAUGCGUAGAUAUGCGGAGGAACACCGAUGGCGAAGGCAAUCCCCUGGGCCUGCACUGACGCUCAUGCACGAAAGCGUGGGGAGCAAACAGG